rnacentral:rRNA from 1 species
GAUUUUCCGCAAUGGGCGAAAGCCUGACGGAGCAAUACCGCGUGAGGGAGGAAGGCUCUUGGGUUGUAAACCUCUUUUCUCAGGGAAGAAAAAAAUGACGGUACCUGAGGAAUAAGCAUCGGCUAACUCCGUGCCAGCAGCCGCGGUAAUACGGAGGAUGCAAGCGUUAUCCGGAAUGAUUGGGCGUAAAGGGUCCGCAGGUGGCAUUGUAAGUCUGCUGUUAAAGAGUCUAGCUCAACUAGAUAAAAGCAGUGGAAACUACAAAGCUAGAGUACGUUCGGGGCAGAGGGAAUUCCUGGUGUAGCGGUGAAAUGCGUAGAUAUCAGGAAGAACACCGGUGGCGAAAGCGCUCUGCUAGGCCGUAACUGACACUGAGGGACGAAAGCUAGAGGAGCGAAUGGGAUUAGAUACCCCAGUAGUCCUAGCCGUAAACGAUGGAUACUAGGUGUGGCUUGUAUCGACCCGAGCCGUACCGGAGCUAACGCGUUAAGUAUCCCGCCUGGGGAGUACGCAGGCAACUGUGAAACUCAAAGGAAUUGACGGGGGCCCGCACAAGCGGUGGAGUAUGUGGUUUAAUUCGAUGCAACGCGAAGAACCUUACCAAGGCUUGACAUGUCACGAAUUCUGUUGAAAGAUGGAAGUGCCUUAGGGAGCGUGAACACAGGUGGUGCAUGGCUGUCGUCAGCUCGUGUCGUGAGAUGUUGGGUUAAGUCCCGCAACGAGCGCAACCCUCGUCUUUAGUUGCCAGCAUGAAAGAUGGGAACUCUAGAGAGACUGCCGGUGACAAACCGGAGGAAGGUGGGGAUGACGUCAAGUCAGCAUGCCCCUUACGCCUUGGGCUACACACGUACUACAAUGCUCCGGACAAAGGGCAGCUACACAGCGAUGUGAUGCAAAUCUCAUAAACCGGAGCUCAGUUCAGAUCGAAGGCUGCAACUCGCCUUCGUGAAGGAGGAAUCGCUAGUAAUUGCAGGUCAGCAUACUGCAGUGAAUUCGUUCCCGGGCCUUGUACACACCGCCCGUCACACCAUGGAAGUUGGUCACGCCCGAAGUCAUUACCCCAACCGCAAGGGGGGGGAUGCCUAAGGUAGGACUGAUGACUGGGGUGAAGUCGUAACAGGUUAGCCGUAA